rnacentral:piRNA from 2 species
GGCGGGUGUUGACGCGAUGUGA